rnacentral:lncRNA from 1 species
UUCCACCUCAUCCCCGUCCCCUCCCCGAAUAAGAAAUUGGGUAAAAAAAUUUCCCCGUCUCUUCCCCGAAUAAGAAAUUGGGUAUGAAAUUAUCCCCAUACCCUCCCCGAAUGGGGAAAAUCCCCGAGAGUACCCGUCCCCGUGGGGAUUUUUGCCAUCCCUACGUAUGGACAUCAACUUCAAUUAUGUUGAUUUCUUUACAUCAUUUAUAAUGCAUCAUAGUAGAUCAUGUGUAGAUUUGUUCUUUAUCCCCUUGUUGUUUUUUUCCUUUUUCAUAUAAUUAAGUUUUCAAUUUUCUUGUUGCUAUAGGAACAAUGUUGAUGGUAAUCCUCGGCACUGAAUGCAUAUCUCUUGGCUUUAGGGUAAUGGUUGAUGGUUUGAUUUUAUUUAUUUAUUAUUUAUUCUUUUUGGUCAUCAAACAAAUGUAGCUUAGGGAAAUGGCCACUUUUUUAUUUUAUUUUUGUCGCCUACUUUUUCAUCCUUUUUAAUCAUUAUUUUAAGCGUUUGCCUACCUUACGUUUAAGGUACAGCCUUCUCACACAACUGAGAAGUGGGUUCUAGUGGGACCCAUUACUGUAGAGAGGAUUGUACCUUACGUUUAACGUAAGGUAGCAUCUCUCUUGUUUUAAACUUCCUACGGGCCAUAACAAAUGGUGAAAAGGACGCAUGAAACGACCGCAUAUGCUAUCUUUUUUAUUGUCCUUUCUUCCUAAUGGCUAUUUAACAGUACUCCCAUAAAAUUGUGACAAUGGUUUUGGCAAUCAAUUUCAUCAGAACAAUUAUUAACUAAUCCAAUAUUUAAUCACCACCAUAUUCAACUUUCCUUAAAAAAAAAAAAAACAGUUCUAAUGACUAAAAACACUAUUAUCAUAUAAAAUUGGGUUUAGUAAGGAUAUAUUAGAUAUUUAGUUGGUUUUAUUGAGUAAAAUUUAAAGGUUCAAAACUUUAUGUCUAGCAAGUAGUUUAGUGGAUUCAAAUAGCUUCACCCAAUCCUUUCAUAAUGUUUACGGUUUUACCUUAAUUAAAACAACUAUUAAAGAUAAAGACAUGUUUGCCACAGCAACAUCAUCCAAGGAGAAAGCCUUCCAUAGUGUGAUUUGCAUCAACACCACUAUCUCGUGUAGUGUUGACCCAAUUAUUAUAUGACACGUGUGUGUGCGUGGGGGGGGGGGGAGGGUAACUCUUUGUUGGUUAAACAACUUAAAUUUGAUAAAAAGAUAAGGAGAAUAAUCAUACAGGUAGAGAGAUUUACAACUUAAGAAGAAGAAACUAAUUCAAACACAACAACAAAAGCCCACAAAAAUCUAAAUGUUUGAUGUUUUAUAAUUUAUACAUACAAAAUUUAAUUAUUUAUACUUUUUGUUUAUAAAUGGUAUAAGAAUUGCAUUAUAUAAAUUAUUUCUUAUAUGUCACUUGUUAAAUAAAAUUUUAUUACUCAUAAAUAAAUUGUAUUUUCAUCUUACAUAACUAAAUUAUAAUUACAUUAUUGAUUGAAUUUUUCAAAAUUCAUAAUGCAUUACUGUUGUUUGAUAAUUUAUACGUAUAGUGAAAAAGUAAAAAAAAAUAAUCUUCAUAUAUAAUGAUUUAUCUUAUAGUUGCCAAAAAACAUAAACUCAUGAAAUUCAUUUUAAUAAGCACAAAUGCUCAAUUUCUAUAAUGAAUGAAUUCUUUCCCAAAAAAAUUUUAUGAUCAAUGAAUAAAUAAAUAUAGAAAUGAUCAUACGAUUGAGAUUGUAUAUGAGAAUUUGAUUGAUUAACAAGUAUUGAAGCCAUCUUGAACUGAUAGUCACCUUUGUAUUGAUUAAUAAAGACAACAACAAUUAAAUUAAGAUUUAAUUAAUUGCUUGUAACAUGAGUGUUGACGCUUGAUUUUUUCCCACCUGGGGUCGAACCAUGUGCAACAGAUGGAGGUAUACAUGCACACACAACAACAAAUAAAAAACGGUGAAAUAAGGGGGGUUUCCGACAAUCCCACUUUGAUACUUAAGUCAGCCGCUAAAGAAUUCGAGUUAAAUCAUAAAAUAUUAGAAUUCUAGUGAACCUAACCUCUCUUUGAGAGAGUAAUUUAAUAUUUAUACCAUACCACAUAUUUAGGAGAGUGGCCCUCUUAUUUUUGGUGAAUGUGAGUAGUUAUUGGUCUCAUCCAUUGUGGGAUCGAAGUGCUGCAUUGCAAUUAUGGCUUUAUCUUUUUUAUUUUAGAAGGUUGUAGGAUGGUGGAGUAGCUCACAUAAUCCGACCCCUGGAGUGAUGGAAGAAGAAAGUGGGGCAUGUUUUUAGGAGUGAACUCUUCUAUUUUAGCUAUGUGUUGACCUUGUAACAAGCUUCCUUAAUCACUUUAUUUGUAGUCCCAUGAUUAUUUCGUAAUGAUAAAUAUUAACCUAAUGUUUCAGGCUUGUUGGGUCGGUGUUUAUGAACAAAUCAAAGUCUCAACUGAGAGUUCCCUACUUCUCACCUUGAGCGGUCCUUAAUUCCCACCUAAUAAUUUAUAUUAUUGCCUUCGAGGGAUCUAACUUUCUCUCUUGGAGACCCUGACCCCUCGAUGUGGUAUAAGUGAUUAAAUUCCAUAUCAACAAUGAGUAAGUGGUAACUGUCAAUUAAAGAUGAAUCUAAGGAUAGAGGUACUUCAUUUUAAGUCAAAUAGUUCAUUUUUAAUAACUAUUGAUAUUGUUAUUUUUUUAAUAGCAUCAUAGAGAAAUCUACACACACUACAUGUAUGUAUGUAUGUAUGUAUGUAUGUGUAUGUAUAUGAAUAUGUAUAAUUCGAAAUUACCUCAAAAACUUUACCAAACCAACCACCAAAAUCUGACCAGCUAAAACUGCUAAUUUCCAAUUUGAUCCUCGUUGCCCAAGGAACAGUUCUUGUUCUCACCGAAUUCUUCUUCAUAUAUCUACAAUCAAUGAAAAUUUUAAAGGUAUAUAAGUAUUAAAGGUAUUCAAGAUCUCUUUUCAUGGUCCCUCAUUUUACUUUGUAACAAUAGUCUUUAUCGCAAUAUUAUUAGUGAAAGUUUUUAAUUCUCUUUCUUUUUUAGUUCAUCAUUUUUGCCUAUUUUUUGCCAUUUUUAGUUUGCUUCUACUACCUCCUUCUAAAUUUAUGGUUAUUUAUUCCAUUUUUUUUUCACAGAUGCAUCAGAAAGAAAUUGGAUCGAAAAAUGUAAUUUUUAUGUUUAAGUUUCUUUUUCUUUUUUAAUUUCACAUGCAUCAAAGAAAAAGAAAUGAAGCUAGAAGGAGGAGGCAAGUAGAAUUGCAGAAAAUGAAAAGGGCAGCGAGGGAGGUGAGAGAGCUUUUUGUUUUGAAUGAGAAAGAAGAAGAGGCAAAAUUGAUUUUGAUUACAUAAAAAGUACAUAAAGCCUAAAUAAUGGCCUAACUAAAGUGUUUGAUAAAAAUUAUCUACUGUACCUUAAAAGUUAAGUUAAUUUAAUUUUACGCUUGUAGAUAAAAAAUCUCUUAUAUUUUUAUUAAUUUUAUCAAAAUAUUAUUUAAAAAUUAUAUUUAUUACAUAAUAUUAUCUUUUGUUUCAUAGUUAUAAUUUUUGUUUUCACAACAGGCGUAUCUUAAAAAGUUACAGUAGCUCAAUCUUAAACAAGACUUUAAUGGAUUGGUUGCCACAAGUCAUGAAAUAAUUAGGUCAAUACUGCUGCAUCAGUAGAUGAGCCAGUGGUGUUGACACCGUGGAAGACUCUCACCAACGUAGAGAAGUAUGAAAUAAUUAUGGUGCUAUUAGAUUAGAAUGACUUUUAAAUAAUCUAAAUGAGAUAUCUUUAGGAACUGGUAUUAUAAGGACUUUUGAGGGGUGUCAAAAGCAGGACUGUAGAUGGUUGAGUUUAUGCAUGAAAUUUAAGAAUGAAGAUGAAGGCUUUGGGCUCGUUAUACAUUUUCCAAAUAUAAGUUAUCAAGGCCCACGUAGGAAAUAAUGGAACCUUUGCUGCCACAAUAAUAAUUGGACAGGUUUUCUUUUCAUAUCUGAAUCAUCGGAUUAUUUCAUUACUUUGUAGGGAGAUCAAUAAUAUUAAUGAAGUAUGGCACAGGCUGGAUAUUUCAUUACAGAUAGAAAUCUGGAUUUAUUUUUUUUUUUAUCGUCAUUUCUUUAGUUUCUCACAAGUAAAUUAUUACGCCAGUGGAAAAACCAACACAUUCAUGAUUCACCCCACUUCUCGUUCUCAAAUGAUCAAUUGACCAAAAUCAAUCACAUGGCCGGCCACUAGCUAAUUAGAGUGUACAUACAUGAAAAUAAUGAAAAUAGGCACACUUUUAUAUCAUAAUUUUCAACAAUACCUGCGUGAUUUAGGGACAGUUUAGUGAAGUUGUUGUUUUCAAAAUAAUUGUUGUUAAUUAUGCUG